rnacentral:rRNA from 1 species
GCGGAACGAGUUAUCUGAACCUUCGGGGAACGAUAACGGCGUCGAGCGGCGGACGGGUGAGUAAUGCCUAGGAAAUUGCCCUGAUGUGGGGGAUAACCAUUGGAAACGAUGGCUAAUACCGCAUAAUGCCUACGGGCCAAAGAGGGGGACCUUCGGGCCUCUCGCGUCAGGAUAUGCCUAGGUGGGAUUAGCUAGUUGGUGAGGUAAGGGCUCACCAAGGCGACGAUCCCUAGCUGGUCUGAGAGGAUGAUCAGCCACACUGGAACUGAGACACGGUCCAGACUCCUACGGGAGGCAGCAGUGGGGAAUAUUGCACAAUGGGCGCAAGCCUGAUGCAGCCAUGCCGCGUGUGUGAAGAAGGCCUUCGGGUUGUAAAGCACUUUCAGUCGUGAGGAAGGUAGUGUAGUUAAUAGCUGCAUUAUUUGACGUUAGCGACAGAAGAAGCACCGGCUAACUCCGUGCCAGCAGCCGCGGUAAUACGGAGGGUGCGAGCGUUAAUCGGAAUUACUGGGCGUAAAGCGCAUGCAGGUGGUUUGUUAAGUCAGAUGUGAAAGCCCGGGGCUCAACCUCGGAAUUGCAUUUGAAACUGGCAGACUAGAGUACUGUAGAGGGGGGUAGAAUUUCAGGUGUAGCGGUGAAAUGCGUAGAGAUCUGAAGGAAUACCGGUGGCGAAGGCGGCCCCCUGGACAGAUACUGACACUCAGAUGCGAAAGCGUGGGGAGCAAACAGGAUUAGAUACCCUGGUAGUCCACGCCGUAAACGAUGUCUACUUGGAGGUUGUGGCCUUGAGCCGUGGCUUUCGGAGCUAACGCGUUAAGUAGACCGCCUGGGGAGUACGGUCGCAAGAUUAAAACUCAAAUGAAUUGACGGGGGCCCGCACAAGCGGUGGAGCAUGUGGUUUAAUUCGAUGCAACGCGAAGAACCUUACCUACUCUUGACAUCCAGAGAACUUUCCAGAGAUGGAUUGGUGCCUUCGGGAACUCUGAGACAGGUGCUGCAUGGCUGUCGUCAGCUCGUGUUGUGAAAUGUUGGGUUAAGUCCCGCAACGAGCGCAACCCUUAUCCUUGUUUGCCAGCG